rnacentral:rRNA from 1 species
CCUANGGGAGGCAGCAGUAGGGAAUAUUGGACAAUGGGCGAAAGCCUGAUCCAGCAACGCCGCGUGCGCGAUGAAGGCCUUCGGGUUGUAAAGCGCUUUUCGGGGGGAUGAGGAAGGACAGUACCCCCGGAAUAAGUCUCGGCUAACUACGUGCCAGCAGCCGCGGUAAAACGUAGGAGGCAAGCGUUAUCCGGAUUUACUGGGCGUAAAGCGCGUGCAGGCGGUUCGGUAAGUCGGACGUGAAAGCUCCUGGCUCAACUGGGAGAGGCCGUUCGAAACUACCGGACUAGAGGGCAGGAGAGGGAGGUGGAAUUCCGGGUGUAGCGGUGAAAUGCGUAGAUAUCCGGAGGAACACCAGUGGCGAAGGCGGCCUCCUGGUCUGCCCCUGACGCUCAGACGCGAAAGCUAGGGGAGCGAACGGGAUUAGAUACCCCANUANUC